ACCAAGUUGAAAAACAUCUUUGGUUCCCUGUCCUUGGAGACAUAAGAAUUGGAGGCAAAGAAAUGUGGUAGAUUUGGAAAGAUUUGGGGACCAGCUUGCUCCCCACAGGCUUGGGAUCAGGCAUCCCUCAGAG
ensembl:snoRNA Gm22944 predicted gene, 22944